CCCCCUCUCCCUCACACCGACAAACAUUUAUACUCUGUACUCUCUCUCUCUGUUUCUAUAACUAUAGAUAUUUACUCUCUCUCUAUACUCUCUCUCUAUCUCUAUAACCCUAGAAGGUACGUUUUCAAGCCCCAAGCGGCGCUAAGUUGGACUGAGUUCGCACCGAUUCUCACCGUUUUCGACUGAUUCUCACCGGUUUUCGUCUUUUCCCUGCGGGAUUCGCCGUGAAAGGAGGCAGGUCGAAGGCUGAAACGAAAAAAACUGAUAGCAAGUUGUCGGUGAAGAAGAGAGGAGCACCGAGCGAAAAGGCCGGCAUGAAGCGCUUUGGAUUGUUGAUCUGCCGAGGUACAUUUCUAUCCCGGCUGGGAAGAUUCUCUCCGAAACUUCAGAACCUUCAAAUCUUCUGCCAUUAGAAAGAAAAGUAAGCUUCGAAAGGAAAUGAUUCAUGAGUCUAGAGAGUUCCCUUUCGUUAAGCGCAUCUACGUGAAUCUUGGCAGAAUGCUUGUAGCAUUGUCGCUGGAUCAAUAGCUUGAAUGAAUUUAGACAGCUGACAGCGAGAUCAGGAUGAUCUUCACCAAGAUAAUUUGAAUCAAAGAGCUGUUUGGGGGUAAGAAAAAAAAGGCGGUUGUUCUGUCUCCGCGUUUCUAAUAAGAGAAUCCUUCUUCCUCUCUUUAUUUCCUUAUACUUUAGCAAGAAGACAAUGAAUACGAGCAACUGCUUGAACUGAAUCCGGAAGGAACUCGGGCCAAGAAAGGGAAGGCCGCGAAGGAUCCCAACAAGCCCAAGAGGCCUGCGAGUGCCUUCUUCGUUUUCAUGGAGGAGUUUAGGAAGACUUUCAAGGAGAAGUACCCUGACAACAAAUCUGUCUCCAUUAAGUUGGUGAUUAUGACAAAGUGUGUGGACUAGAUGCCACUUUUUUCUCUCAGCUUCUUUCGCCAAUAGCAUUAGCUGGACUUGUUAUGCCCUCAUCCGUUUUGAUCCCUUCAUUGCUAAUUCAUAAAGAAGGCCAAAUCUGUAGGCAAUGUCGUAAAACUACCAAAUUGAGUUAAAACACGAUCUAUUAGGCAGUGCAAAUCUCUGAUAUGUUUAGUUGUUCCACCCAUACUAAAAGCAUCACCUAGGCAUAAUGCAUUAUAUACAUAUAUAAAUAAAAGAAGUAUUGGAUGAUCUCUUUACCUGCACCUACAAGAAGCAACUUGGAGCCAUCACCGGCUAGGUUUUUAUUGCUUCUUUUCCAUUCGUGUGUGGAGACUUUCGUCAAAUUUGUCAACUGAGCAAGUUUUUCUGGUCUAUAAAAUGGCAAUUCAAAACAAAAUUUGACUUUAAAUGACUGAUCUUGUGGAAAUCUAUAAGUGCUGUAAUCUGAUUGUCCAUUGGUUAUAUGUUAUUAAUGAAAAUCCAAUUGGACAAUCAGAUUGCAGCAUUUGGAUUUCCACAAGAUUGGUCAGUUAAAGUCUGAUUUUGUUUUGGAUUGCCAUUUUAUAGACCAAAAAAACUUGGUCUGUGUUGACGGUUGAUAGAUUUGAUGAAAAUCUCCAAAUGUGGAUGGAAAAAAAGCAUAGCAAGGACUGAUUUUUUUUUUGUUUAACAAUGGAUUUGUGCAUGGAAACCUGACCGGUGAUGGGGUUGUGAUGACUACAAACUCUAAUACUCCUAGUCAAAUCAUCCGAUGCUUGUUUUAUUUAUAUAUUGCAUGGUGCUUCUAGUAUGGGUGGAGCAACUAAAGAUAUUAGGGAUUUGCACUGCUUAAUGGAUCGGGCUGAUUACGAUUCUUUGAGCACUUGCAUGGACACUUUUCAGUUGCGGGUUGACGCUAUUGGAGGCUCCCUUGACACAUAUCAUCAGCAUACCAUGGAGGAGGAUUAGAUUUUGCGUGCCAUGAUUCAGUCACUCAGUGAUCGUGGCGGUGCGGGUCCAUCUUCAUUUGCACCGAUGGAGGAUUGAGCAUUUUUAUUCUUUUUUGCUUUAUAUUUUAUUUGCUAGUACUUUGUUUUGGUGGAUAUUUUAUUUUGGCCAUGUUUGGCAUGACACAUGUGAGUGCAUGUUUUAUGUGCACGAAUUUUGAUCUUUUUCCCAGUUUUGAGUAAGAAUAUGUUACGACUUUUCAUAUUUAUAUCGAUGUUUGGAUAUAUAUAUGCUUUUAUGCUUGGUA